AAAGUACUUUACAUAUUAAGUUUAGAGUAAACAUCCUGUCUGAUGUUGCGUAUGAACAGAUCUGUUUCCUUGAUCCUGUUUCAUUCUGACCCUCUGCUAAGCAUCUGAUCCAUGCAAUCUGCAUUCAACUAUGGAACCAAAGACACCAGCACUGUCCAGCCCCUGUCCUGGUCAUCAACGUUUGCCAGAGGAAUUGAAUGAACUAAAUACAGAGUUUUGUGAUGAAAGUGUAACAUACUCCGAACUCAAACUUCGUGAUUCUUCAAAUAUUCAGAAGAGAAAACUAACUAGGAUUUGGAAAGCAAAAGAGUCUCCAUGGUGCAUUGCUACAGUGAUAUUUGCCUUGCUUUAUUUAAUUGCUCUUGCACUAGCUGCAUUUAUGAUAGCUAAGGUUAAAUGUCUAGAAGAAACUCUGAAUACAUAUCAAAACAAUACGUCAAAUGUGCCUGGACGCUGCAACACAAUAUAGCAAAACCGAGGUAACUGGUCCUUCUCUGAAGAAAACUGAUAUCUUAUUUCUGCUGAAAAUAAGAUCUUGGCAGCAAGGAAAUUGUCCUGAAGCCCUGAGCUCCAGUCUUAUCAAGAAAUAUAACAAAGAAGAAUUGGAAAUGUAUGGCACAAUAACCCUUCCCACAUUUUCUUAUACGGAAGAUAAUUAUAGAGACAUUUUAACAUUAUGUGUUCAUUCAAGCAUGCUAAACUCAACAUAUUGUAAUAAUUGAUUGGAGAUCUCUUAAUCAAACCCAAACAUCAAAAUAUGGGCUUAAAUGGUUAUGUGAUUUUUAAAUUUUAAAUGUAUUUGUACAUAGAAGUAAAUGCUAAUAUAUUAAAAUCUCAGACCCUGGUAAAUAAAUAAGAGGAAACCACAUAGCA
rnacentral:lncRNA from 1 species